CCUACGGGAGGCAGCAGUGAGGAAUAUUGGUCAAUGGUCGGGAGACUGAACCAGCCAAGCCGCGUGAGGGAUGAAGGUACAGAGUAUCGUAAACCUCUUUUGUCAGGGAACAAAGGCGGGGACGUGUCCCCGGAUGCGUGUACCUGAAGAAAAAGCAUCGGCUAACUCCGUGCCAGCAGCCGCGGUAAUACGGAGGAUGCGAGCGUUAUCCGGAUUUAUUGGGUUUAAAGGGUGCGCAGGCGGACUGUUAAGUCAGCGGUCAAAGCCCGGGGCUCAACCCCGUCCCGCCGUUGAAACUGGCAGUCUCGAGUGGGAGAGAAGUAUGCGGAAUGCGCGGUGUAGCGGUGAAAUGCAUAGAUAUCGCGCAGAACUCCGAUUGCGAAGGCAGCAUGCCGGCUCCACACUGACGCUGAGGCACGAAAGCGUGGGUAUCGAACAGGAUUAGAUACCCCAGUAGUC
rnacentral:rRNA from 1 species